rfam:Micromonospora humi strain DSM 45647 genome assembly, contig: Ga0070213_109
CAAGUGACCCACGGGAGCCCGGUGUGGACCGGGCUGAGAGGGGGGCUGACAGCCCCCGACCGUCGAACCUGAUCCGGAUAAUGCCGGCGCAGGGAGGAGCGUUGCCGUGCCG